rnacentral:rRNA from 1 species
UACGGAGGGGACUAGCGUUGUUCGGAAUUACUGGGCGUAAAGCGCACGUAGGCGGAUUGGAAAGUUGAGGGUGAAAUCCCAGGGCUCAACCCUGGAACUGCCUCCAAAACUACCAGUCUUGAGUUCGAGAGAGGUGAGUGGAAUUCCGAGUGUAGAGGUGAAAUUCGUAGAUAUUCGGAGGAACACCAGUGGCGAAGGCGGCUCACUGGCUCGAUACUGACGCUGAGGUGCGAAAGCAUGGGGAGCAAACAGG